GAUGAACGCUGGCGGCGUGCCUAAUACAUGCAAGUCGAGCGAACAGACGAGGAGCUUGCUCCUCUGACGUUAGCGGCGGACGGGUGAGUAACACGUGGAUAACCUACCUAUAAGACUGGGAUAACUUCGGGAAACCGGAGCUAAUACCGGAUAAUAUAUUGAACCGCAUGGUUCAAUAGUGAAAGACGGUUUUGCUGUCACUUAUAGAUGGAUCCGCGCCGCAUUAGCUAGUUGGUAAGGUAACGGCUUACCAAGGCAACGAUGCGUAGCCGGCCUGAGAGGGUGAUCGGCCACACUGGAACUGAGACACGGUCCAGACUCCUACGGGAGGCAGCAGUAGGGAAUCUUCCGCAAUGGGCGAAAGCCUGACGGAGCAACGCCGCGUGAGUGAUGAAGGUCUUCGGAUCGUAAAACUCUGUUAUUAGGGAAGAACAAAUGUGUAAGUAACUAUGCACGUCUUGACGGUACCUAAUCAGAAAGCCACGGCUAACUACGU
rnacentral:rRNA from 1 species